rnacentral:lncRNA from 1 species
AAUUAAUGAAGAACAUUAAGCACUUAAUUUCUUCUAAUAACUGGUUUUGCGUCACUCGGAAAUGACAGUGUAAAACAACUUGGUUGGGGUGGCUCAAAAGGGAAGCAUUUAAUAUUCACAAUCUAAUCAGUUUCUUAUAAAAAAAAAUUAAAAAAGAAAGAAGGAAAAUUAUGAAAGCAACCUGCCAGACAUUAAAGUUUUCUUUUCCCUUUUAUAAUAGGGUCUUUUAAAGACCAGCAUCGCCUCUGAGCUGUAAAAAUAUAUUAAAUAAAAAAUAUUUAGAUUUAAAAAAAACCCCAAAACAAAACACUGCUGGCGGUGCCAAGGUGAGGUGAGAUGUGUUGUUUUUCAUCCCGGAGCCUCUCUGUCAGUCACCUCCUCACAGCCAAUGAUAAGUUCGCCUCGGUCGGACCGACUCGCCGCUUGCUCCUCCGGUCCCUCCUCGUGCUGUCCUCGCCGUGCACGCGCGUGGUACCCACGGUCGUGAGGAGGAGGAGGAUGUUGCGCGUGAAGGGGAAAUGGCUGCCGAAAACAAGCCGGAAGAUGAACAUGGACAUUUGAAAAUAUACCUGCCCAAGAAGCUGCUUGAAUGUCUACCAAAAUGCACGUCGCUGCCAAAGGAGAGACACCGGUGGAACACUAAUGAGGUACGGACAGCACUGCUAAUCAUACCUCUUUCCACUAAAUCCAUCUCUCUUCAAAGAUAGCCGUACAUAAGACGCGGUUCUCUCGGGCCCUUUCCAGACAUAUAAAUCAUAUGAAAUCUCUCUGAAAUAACAACUGCUACCUGUGAUGUUCACUGUUACACCAAAAUACAUUGAACAAUGCUGGUGUACGUUACAUGCUUAAAUAUGACAUAUGAAGAUAGUGUAAGUGUGAUUUUUAAAUGUACCUAUUAGGGUUUAUUUCUAGCUCUUGUGCUCCCACUUCACAUUACACCUAUUUCAGCAUGUAUUAUAACUUUACAGGAUUUUAUAUUUGCAUUAAUAACUAUAUUUGAAAUUUAAAGUCCAUCUUCAUCUUAUAUUGACACACAGUUUCCUCUGAUAUUUUUUUAGAUGUACUUUUGCCAACAAAGAUAAUUCACUGGUUUCAGUUGCAGUACGUUGUGCGGUGGAUUUUUUUUAUUUAACCUCACUUUUAAACUGAAACACGUCUCCGAGUCUGUAAUUUGUGUUUACUAGAAAUUUGGCACGAAAACCCUGUUUGUUAAUGU